UCCAAAAGAGAAAAAAGGCUGAGGUGACA
rnacentral:piRNA from 1 species